UACGUAGGGUGCAAGCGUUGUCCGGAAUUAUUGGGCGUAAAGAGCUCGUAGGCGGUCUGUCACGUCGGCUGUGAAAACCCGGGGCUCAACCCCGGGCCUGCAGUCGAUACGGGCAGACUAGAGUGCGGUAGGGGAGACUGGAAUUCCUGGUGUAGCGGUGAAAUGCGCAGAUAUCAGGAGGAACACCGGUGGCGAAGGCGGGUCUCUGGGCCGUAACUGACACUGAGGCACGAAAGCGUGGGGAGCAAACAGG
rnacentral:rRNA from 1 species